rnacentral:rRNA from 1 species
AACGCUGGCGGAAUGCUUACACAUGCAAGUCGAACGGUAGAGGGGGCAACCCCUUGAGAGUGGCGAACGGGUGAGUAAUAUAUCGGAACGUGCCCAGUCGUGGGGGAUAACGUAGCGAAAGUUACGCUAAUACCGCAUACGAUCUAUGGAUGAAAGCGGGGGAUCGCAAGACCUCGCGCGAUUGGAGCGGCCGAUAUCAGAUUAGGUAGUUGGUGAGGUAAAGGCUCACCAAGCCGACGAUCUGUAGCUGGUCUGAGAGGACGACCAGCCACACUGGGACUGAGACACGGCCCAGACUCCUACGGGAGGCAGCAGUGGGAAUUUUGGACAAUGGGCGCAAGCCUGAUCCAGCAAUGCCGCGUGAGUGAAGAAGGCCUUCGGGUUGUAAAGCUCUUUUGUCAGGGAAGAAACGGUGAGGGCUAAUAUCCUUUGCUAAUGACGGUACCUGAAGAAUAAGCACCGGCUAACUACGUG